GCUUGCUUCUGCAGCCAUAUGCUAAAUCUGGAAUGAUACAGAGAAGAUUAGCAGGGCUCUGCACAAGGAUGACAUCUAGAGUCAUGAAACAGUCCAUAUAUUU